rnacentral:ncRNA from 1 species
GGACCUGAUAUCAGGCAAGAUUACCCGCUGAACUUAAGCAUAUUAAUAAGCGGAGGAAAAGAAACUAACAAGGAUUCCCCUAGUAACGGCGAGUGAAGCGGGAAGAGCUCAAGCUUAAAAUCUCCGUGCAAGUUUUGUGCGGCGAAUUGUAGUCUAUAGAAGCGUGGUCAGCAUGGGCAACUUGGGGCAAGUUCCUUGGAAGAGGACAGCAUGGAGGGUGAUACUCCCGUUCAUUUCUGAGUUGCUCGUGCGUACGACCCGUUUUCUUUGAGUCGCGUUGUUUGGGAAUGCAGCGCAAAGUAGGUGGUAAAUUCCAUCUAAAGCUAAAUAUUGGUGCGAGACCGAUAGCGAACAAGUACCGUGAGGGAAAGAUGAAAAGAACUUUGAAAAGAGAGUUAAAGAGUACCUGAAACUGCUGAAAGGGAACCGAAUCGUUUCCAGUGUCUAUAAUCCGUGGUAUAUUUCAUUGGCGAGUGUGUGCGUGCGUGUGCUGUGGCAGCGGCUUUUUUGGCUGCGCUCGGCGUGUGUGCUGUGUGUGCUUGCUGGUGCUCUGUGCUGCGGUGGGACGUCAAGGUCAGUUCGUAUGCUGCGGGAAAUGGCUGCCGAGGAGGUAGGGCUUACGCUUGCGUUUGUCUGUUAUAUCUUGGUGGACGAGUAGUCGCGGUUGGGACUGAGGUGCCUACAACGUGCUUUUGAGUGGGUUUGUGUCUCCGUGUGCGCCGUGUGCGGAUAGCUUGCUAUGCGUGUGUGGUUGUGUGUGGAUUGAUGCGAGCUUUAACUUGUUGCCGUUCGGGACGUUGACGAAAUGGAGCGAUUCGACCCGUCUUGAAACACGGACCAAGGAGUCUAACAUGUGUGCAAGUGUUAGGGUGUGGAAACCCCAGCGCGAAAUGAAAGUGAAGGGCAGCGUAAGUUGUCUGAGGUAGGAAAUGCUGCGGGCUUCGGUCUGCGGUGUGGCACUAUCGACCGAUCAUGAACCUUCGUGGUGAAAGAUUAGAGUUUGAGCACAUAUGUUGGUACCCGAAAGAUGGUGAACUAUGCCUGAGUAGGGUGAAGCCAGGGGAAACUCUGGUGGAAGCUCGUAGCGAUUCUGACGUGCAAAUCGAUCGUCAAACUUGGGUAUAGGGGCGAAAGACUAAUCGAACCAUCUAGUAGCUGGUUCCCUCCGAAAUUUCCCUCAGGAUAGCAGCAACUUAUUUACGAUAGUUUUAUGAGGUAAAGCGAAUGAUUAGAGGAUUCGGGGAAGAAACUUCCUCGACCUAUUCUCAAACUUUAAAUCUGUAAGACCUGCAGGUUUCUUAAUUGAACUUGUGGAUGUGAAUAUCA